rnacentral:rRNA from 1 species
CAGUGUGUCAUAACAAGGUAACCAGUAGAGUUUAAUGUCGGAUGGGAAGAGUCAUGUCUGGGAAACUGCCUGAUGGAGGGGGAUAACUACUGGAAACGGUAGCUAAUACCGCAUAACGUCGCAAGACCAAAGAGGGGGACCUUCGGGCCUCUUGCCAUCGGAUGUGCCCAGAUGGGAUUAGCUAGUAGGUGGGGUAAAGGCUCACCUAGGCGACGAUCCCUAGCUGGUCUGAGAGGAUGACCAGCCACACUGGAACUGAGACACGGUCCAGACUCCUACGGGAGGCAGCAGUGGGGAAUAUUGCACAAUGGGCGCAAGCCUGAUGCAGCCAUGCCGCGUGUAUGAAGAAGGCCUUCGGGUUGUAAAGUACUUUCAGCGGGGAGGAAGGGAGUAAAGUUAAUACCUUUGCUCAUUGACGUUACCCGCAGAAGAAGCACCGGCUAACUCCGUGCCAGCAGCCGCGGUAAUACGGAGGGUGCAAGCGUUAAUCGGAAUUACUGGGCGUAAAGCGCACGCAGGCGGUUUGUUAAGUCAGAUGUGAAAUCCCCGGGCUCAACCUGGGAACUGCAUCUGAUACUGGCAAGCUUGAGUCUCGUAGAGGGGGGUAGAAUUCCAGGUGUAGCGGUGAAAUGCGUAGAGAUCUGGAGGAAUACCGGUGGCGAAGGCGGCCCCCUGGACGAAGACUGACGCUCAUGUGCGAAAGCGUGGGGAGCAAACAGGAUUACAUACCCUGGUAGUCCACGCCGUAAACGAUGUCGACUUGGAGGUUGCGCCCUUGAGGCGUGGCUUCCGGAGCUAACGCGUUAAUUCACCGUCUGGGGGAUAUGGUCCCCAGGGUUAAAAUCUCCUAUGA